GACGAACGCUGGCGGCGUGCUUAACACAUGCAAGUCGAACGGAAAGGCCCUGCUUGCAGGGUACUCGAGUGGCGAACGGGUGAGUAACACGUGGGUGAUCUGCCCUGCACUUCGGGAUAAGCCUGGGAAACUGGGUCUAAUACCGGAUAGGAGCCAUUUUUAGUGUGAUGGUUGGAAAGUUUUUUUCGGUGUAGGAUGAGCUCGCGGCCUAUCAGCUUGUUGUUGGGGUAAUGGCCUACCAAGGCGGCGACGGGUAGCCGGCCGGAGAGGGUGGACGGCCACAUUGGGACUGAGAUACGGCCCAGACUCCUACGGGAGGCAGACGUGGGGAAUAUUGCACAAUGGGCGCAAGCCUGAUGCAGAGACGCCGCGUGGGGGAGGACGGCCGUCGGGUUGGAAACUCCUUUCGCUAGGGACGAAGCUUUUUGUGACGGUACCUAGAGAAGAAGCACCGGCUAACUACGUG
rnacentral:rRNA from 1 species